UAAUAGAGAAUAAGAAUAAAAUUAAUGUUGAUGAUAGUCUUUGAAUGGCAGUUGUUGCAUCAAAAGUGGAUUCAACUUGUAUAACUGACUAGAAAUUCAGUUAACUGCUUUAUGGGUAUAUUUUUCUAAAUUUCCAGGUAACAGAAUGUCCCUUGCAACAUGUUGACCCCUGAUGUGUUCAAGUCCAUUAAAAUGUUAUAGUAGGAUUAAAUAAAAGAUUACUUACUGCAUAACCACUGAUAUAUUUUCGCCACCAAUAGUUAUUGUAACACAGAAAUUCUGAAGUAUGGAAACUUCAGUAACUGUCAGAAAGUGUAAGGACAUUUUGUCCUUACCUCACCCUCUAUGCAGAGAACCCUGCCUUUUUCCAAUUUACCCAAAUUUACCUGAAUUUAUAUUUUUAGCAUGAGUGAAAUAUAUAUUUGCUGCUAAUGUUUUUUAUUCAGUUUUCAAAUAGCAGUAUAAAAGCCUAGGAAUUCAUAAACUUGAAAGGGCAAAUUCUGCUAUUUGCUUCCCAGGAUCCCUGGUGUGGAGUUGCCACA